rnacentral:rRNA from 1 species
UACAGAGGGUGCAAGCGUUGUUCGGAAUUAUUGGGCGUAAAGGGCGCGUAGGCGGUGCCACAAGUCACCUGUGAAAUCUCCGGGCUUAACUCGGAGCCUGCAGGCGAAACUGUGGUGCUGGAGUGUGGGAGAGGUGCAUGGAAUUCCCGGUGUAGCGGUGAAAUGCGUAGAUAUCAGGAGGAACACCUGUGGUGUAGACAGCUUACUGGACCAUUUCUGACGCUGAGACACGAAAGCGUGGGUAGCAAACGGG